AGCAGUCGCCACGGUAAUACAGAGGGUGCGAGCGUUAAUCGGAUUUACUGGGCGUAAAGCGUGCGUAGGCGGCUUCUUAAGUCGGAUGUGAAAUCCCUGAGCUUAACUUAGGAAUUGCAUUCGAUACUGGGAAGCUAGAGUAUGGGAGAGGAUGGUAGAAUUCCAGGUGUAGCGGUGAAAUGCGUAGAGAUCUGGAGGAAUACCGAUGGCGAAGGCAGCCAUCUGGCCUAAUACUGACGCUGAGGUACGAAAGCAUGGGGAGCAAACAGGAUUAGAGACCCCAGUAGUCCUGUCUCUUAUACA
rnacentral:rRNA from 1 species